CAGUCGCCACGUAAAACGAAGGGUGCAAGCGUUACUCGGAAUUACUGGGCGUAAAGCGUGUGUAGGUGGUUGUUUAAGUCUGUCGUGAAAGCCCUGGGCUCAACCUGGGAAUUGCGAUGGAUACUGGGCGACUAGAGUGCGGUAGAGGAUAGUGGAAUUUCCGGUGUAGCAGUGAAAUGCGUAGAGAUCGGAAGGAACAUCUGUGGCGAAGGCGACUAUCUGGGCCAACACUGACACUGAGACACGAAAGCGUGGGAAGCAAACAGGAUUAGAUACCCCAGUAGUCCCUGUCUCUUAUACC
rnacentral:rRNA from 1 species